UUUGCAGAGGUGAGCUGUAAGUAGAGGAGGUGAUUGACAGGCUGGGAGCAGCAGCACCAGGGUGUGACAGGACAGCAGGGGAGAAGGACACUUCCAGAGGGUAGCAGAGGUCUUGAAGUCAAUGCCUAUGGCUCCAGGCAUGAUCCAGGACCACUUCUGCAUCCAGCAGUACCUUAAAUAUACCAAAAAAGGUACAAGGAAAUAUGUAAUAGCUGUGCAUAGCAGGUAAGAGUUAUGUUUUCACACAUUUUCCAGAGAAAGGCAGUUGAACUUUAAAUGACAACUGGAGGAAACUCAUGUCAAGAUGAAUGGAAUGCAGGAUCAAGUGGUUAAGUUUUAUCACUUUUGUUUUACAGAGAUUUGUUCAACCAAAGAAGAUGAACAAAAGAGUAGAUGAACAUUUCCAGGCUUACUCAAUGGAAAUUACCAUCUUCAAAAACAGAACAACAAAUGAAUAACUAGAAGCUCCAGUAACAGUAGGCUUUGUCAUAGCAUCUGCAUCCCCAGCAUGAAAAGUAGCUGUGGCCACACUGGAAGUACAAGAGCAUCUUUUGGCCUCAGGUCACAGACACUCUGAGCUGCAUCCUGGAGAACUCCUUCUGCAGUUCUUUUAGAGAACAACAGUCAUUCAGAGGUUUCUUUUUGGUGUUUGGGUUUUUUGUUUGUUUUCAUAGUUUUUGUUUUGUUGUUUUGGUGUUUUGGUUUUUUUGGUUUGGUUUUUUGUUUUUGGGGGUUUUUUGUUGUUUUUUUUUCUUUAAAUCUGGUCAGAAAAGAAGACCUGGUUGACCUUGGAGAACCUGCCAUGGGAUACUAAAAAUACCUGGAUACUUCUCAUUAGAGCAUAACAACUUCGCCAGGGCUGGUUAGUCCAGAGAACCAUUAGCAUAACUGAUAAGUGAUAUAAAUCCCUCUAAACUUGGUGAGCCUUAAGAAAGCUGAGAUUUUCUGUCCUCGAGGAAGCCUGUGAAGAAGUUAGAUAGAUUCUAUGUACAGACUUCCAUGUCUGCAGAGUGAAUUCCCCAUUACAGGCACACUUGGCUAUCUAUAAUGAUCUGUACAGCCUUCAGCUAAAUCAAGAUAUUCUGUUCCCAUCUGAGUCAUUCCACAGGGAGCAACAUAAAGAAAGAAAACUGCAAGGUUCUCAUUAACAACUGAACCAGUGCCAUCUCAUUUAAAAUCUGAAUGUACAAAGCCGGAUGGUUUUCAACUUAGAGAAUGAAAACCAGAUCCUUCAAGUGGAAAUAUUUUAUGUCUUUACAUUGCAUAUUUCAGUAAUUUAAGGAUAGAUGAAGGAAAAUAACCCGCCUGUUUCAAAGAUCUAAGUGUAGUUGCCCUGGCAGCAAAUUGCACACUACUCCUUAGCGUAGUGAUAUCACAGUCUUAUCUGUUUAUCACACAAUGUGCCAAAACCAGCACAGCCUUGUACUUCCUCUGCUGCUUAGGUUUCUUACUCACCCUGCAAUGCAGUUUGCAGAAGCAUCACUCACUUGGCAAAGGUACUGUGUUACAUCUGACUGCAGAGACAAGCUGUGGAGAAAUGGAUCUACAUGACAAAAUUUUCAACAAGUUCAAAUGUAGCUUUGCAACUCCUUUUAAUCACAGUCUUAGACUGGGCCAAAAUCACAGAAAGCCAGUGUCCUCCUAAAUGCCUUACAACAAUAUAUGCUUGCCUAGCCUCAAACAGGCCAGGCAAAAUGAGCCUGAGAUUAUUCUAAAAAGAAAGAAGCACAACCAGGACUGGCUGUGACCACCUCACUACUCUCAGACAUACAAAUACUUCUAUACAAAAAAAACCCAGCACUAGAAAGCAGAAUCAGAUGGGAGUUCUGGCUCAGCUAAAUGCUCUUCCUGCAGGAGAGCAGUGGUGUCUUAGGCCAUCACUUGUGCAGUUGGUGAAGGAAGGAGAUUUGAAGCAGAAGAGAAAACUGACAGGAGACAGGGGCAUUACUGAUGUUUGUUAUCAUACCCCUGCAACAGAAGCUUCAGGUUUGAAUGAUGGAGGUUUGGUCAUAUUUGGAGCAAGCGUGAAUACUACAAGCAUUAGGGCAGCUGAGAUCAGGCUGUCACAUCUGGAUGAGAUGUCCAGCUGCAUGGAGAAAAGGAGAUAAACGACAGUGGGUUGGAGGGAACGCAAAGGAGACCUCAGGACCAAGGAGGAAAAAGCACGAGACAUGACAAGAUGUCACAUCACAGUUUUGCUAUCAUGAGCUGGAGGUGUGGGAGGCGUGCUGGAGAAGUUCUCUAUGAAGACUGCAGGAGUGCUGGGCUUCAGCGGGAACCCUACAAGGGAGAGAUUUUCAGGAGGAAUUCAAAGCUACAAAGCUUCAAUGGCACAAAUGACACAGAACUCUAGAACUUUCAGCCAUUUUAACUGUUGACCAGCAUACCAUGACCAGGGCAUGUGAAAAUAAGGCCCUGUUAGCCUCCUCUGCAGUGUUAUCACUCUAGUAAGAAAGUGAGAUAUUGCACAUAGCAAAGCUUUACAUGUGAGCAGAUUUUAGCACAGGGUUUCUAAGACGGGAGUCCUGUUCUACCACCCACAUUCUCCUAUACCUGCUGUGGCAAACACAUUUCCCAUCACUCACGUGGUGCAACCUGUAGUCUCACGAAUGACUAGUUCACUCAGAAUGUUUGCAAUAACCUCGUUUGAUCAUUCCUUGUACUACAGAGCAGCACAAAAUGCUGCUGCCAACCAUCCCAUUAGCUCCUAUUUCUUCAGUGGCACUGACCCAGUAGGACUGCCCAAGUUCUCCUAUGCCUUGUGAGGAGUUAAAGAAUCCCACUACUGCUUUCCUUAGGUUCCUGUGGUCUGAGUCACCUCACUGAGCUGCCCAGUUCUUCAUGCACCUUUGUGAUAAUCAGAAGGGCUGGGGCACAGCUGCAAUUGCAUGCUAAUCCCUUCACUUACUAUAGAUAAUGAAUAGGUAAGAAUGAAAAGACAGACACAGAAAAGAUUCAAAACAUAUUAAUUACAACUAAGGAGGUCAGCCUGGUGUUAGUGUUUGUAGCUCCUAUUACCACAUGUACCAAGAGCUCUAUCUAUUAAAACAUUUAGAAAAAAUCAAGUUAACUCCCGCUGGUAUUAACACCAUGAUACAGCAUGGGCCUAGAGUGCUUCUCUCCCCUCUAGUUAGUUUUCUUCCUCAGAGGGAUAAUUCCAUGAAAUCAUUCAUCUUUCCUGUAAAAAGGGACACUCCCAACCUGCAAAACCAAAAAGUGCUUUUAAAUGCCCACAUCUGCAGCUGUUACCUACAUUCCUGUAAUGCUUAAGUACAGCCCAGAGUCAGAGCAUAGGAAACAUACCCCAUUAAAUGCUGAACCAGAACAAAACAAUGCCAGCAGACAAAGCCACACAAAACUUCCCUGCUGGCCUCCAAGGACGGAUGACAAGGAUCUUGUGCAGGUGUUCUGCUGGGAGGUGGAGCAAACACCCCAGCAGGUGCAGCAGACAACACCUCAGUGGCACAAUGAGAGUAAAUGGAGCUUCCCACAGCAAACAAGAGAACAUCAAGGGAAGCAAAGGGGUAUAGUUAAAGGCAGGAAUGGGAAGAGAGAAGCAGGCUUCUUGAAAUUUGGUGUCAUCAAAGACUUGGAUGGCAGGGGUAGGAACUCCAUUUGCAGCUCUUGAAGGUGCCUGAAACCUCAGCUGUAAGAUGGGCAAUUGGGAGAAGUAGCAAACACAUGUGUCACACCAAAUGGGCUUGGCAUAAUGAUAACCAGGGAAGCCUGGGAGGGAAGUAGAGCUGGGACAGAGGAGAGGCAAUGCCGAGAGGGACCAGAUGACUCAGCAACAGAGAUCACAAAGAGGGGAGCUCUUGAUGAGCACCAACAAGUAAACAGCCAUUUCAGCACACCAGAGGUUUGAACCCAGGCUGUAAAUUGGAUGAAGGUGUAAGGGCCUGGAAAAGCAGCCAGGGUAAGGACACAGGGCCCCUAAGGGGGCUGAGGUCAUCAGAGGAUCACCAUGUGGUAGAGAAGAACCACAGCCUGAGACAAGUCUUUACUUUCCAAAGUCUACCAUGCUUAUUUGAAGACAGCUCUUGAUUCUUCUCCAGAGAAGAAGAAAAAAACCCCAAUCCUGCAGACAUCUUUCUGAAACUCAGGCAGAGUGUUUAUUUUUUGUGCUGUCGUUUCUGCUGUAUGGCUGAAUUCAAAGCCUGAAGGAUCAGAUGCUGGUUGUUCUGAAUGUUGUAGCUGGUCAGUUCUAUCAGCUUGUCAAAGUCCUCCUCUGUGUAGGUAAAGCUGUUUAAGCAGUAGGGGGAAAAAAUGGUAGAGACAUCCACGUUGCCCUGAGCCAUCUCAGCAGGGCUGCGCUCCACACCUGACAAAUAAAGAAACAUCAUCAGUAGGGUAGAGAUAUGGUUCCACCUCCCACUCUCCAGUGGGGCACAACGUUAAUCCUUGCUUGCUUCCUAGGAAUUUGCAUUUCUCUCCCAUGGGAGACAGAGCAGGGGAGGGAGGAGACCAUGCUACACCAUGUCUCCCAUUCCACAGCCAAAGGGCUGCCAGGUGGUGGGACAGCCAUCCCAUGGCUUACCAGGCGCUUUGUAUUUUCUGAAGGAGUCAUUCACCAGUGGGAAAAACACCACAGUUGGUGCCUCUGGGGUUUCUGUAUCUUCAAAGAUGUAGCACUCCUUUAGAUUUUUUUUCUCUUCUUCACUCAUUUGGAUUUUGGGAAAUGGGAUUCCCUGCUUUUGAAAGUAUUUGGAGGCUUCUUCCAAGGGCUGAAUUCAGAAAAGAAGAAAAGGUCAGAAGUUCUGCCACAUUUUACCACUUUUCUUAAUGCAUCCAUCGAAAGAUGAUCUUCACAGAGAUUUGGGAGCAAGGUUUGCUGUCACUACUUCUUCUGUCCUUGUCUCUUACAUAAGAUAUCAACUUCUAUUAACAGAACAAUUCAAUACUCAGCCUCCAACUUGCACUCCUGAUUGGUCUUCUACCUUCUCCUCAUUAGCCUUUAUCUCUACAGGAUAGGUACAUGAUUAUGGGAAGGGUGGCCUAGCAGCUUAGGAUACAGAAAGAUGCCUCUCCUGGACAAGAUCCUGAAACAAGUAGAAUGGGCAAGAAUCUGAAGUAGUACCAUUUUAA